UUGCUCCUUUGAGACCGGCGCACGGGUGCGUAACGCGUAUGCAAUCUACCUUUUACAGAGGGAUAGCCCAGAGAAAUUUGGAUUAAUACCUCAUAGUAUAUAUCAUUCGCAUGUUUGGUAUAUUAAAGUUCCAACGGUAAAAGAUGAGCAUGCGUCCCAUUAGUUAGUUGGUAAGGUAACGGCUUACCAAGACGAUGAUGGGUAGGGGUCCUGAGAGGGAGAUCCCCCACACUGGUACUGAGACACGGACCAGACUCCUACGGGAGGCAGCAGUGAGGAAUAUUGGUCAAUGGACGCAAGUCUGAACCAGCCAUGCCGCGUGCAGGAAGACGGUCCUAUGGAUUGUAAACUGCUUUUGUACGGGAAGAAACACUCCUACGUGUAGGAGCCUGACGGUACCGUAAGAAUAAGGAUCGGCUAACUCCGUGCCAGCAGCCGCGGUAAUACGGAGGAUCCAAGCGUUAUCCGGAAUCAUUGGGUUUAAAGGGUCCGUAGGCGGUUUAAUAAGUCAGUGGUGAAAUCUGGUCGCUCAACGAUCAAACUGCCAUUGAUACUGUUAGACUUGAAUUACUGUGAAGUAACUAGAAUAUGUAGUGUAGCGGUGAAAUGCUUAGAUAUUACAUGGAAUACCAAUUGCGAAGGCAGGUUACUAACAGUGGAUUGACGCUGAUGGACGAAAGCGUGGGGAGCGAACAGGAUUAGAUACCCUGGUAGUCCACGCCGUAAACGAUGGAUACUAGUUGUUUGGAGCAAUCUGAGUG
rnacentral:rRNA from 1 species